UACGGAGGGUGCAAGCGUUAUCCGGAUUCACUGGGUUUAAAGGGUGUGUAGGCGGGCAGAUAAGUCAGUGGUGAAAUACCUAAGCUUAACUUGGGAACUGCCAUUGAUACUAUUUGUCUUGAAUGUCGCGGAGGUUAGCGGAAUAUGUCAUGUAGCGGUGAAAUGCUUAGAUAUGACAUAGAACACCCAUUGCGAAGGCAGCUAACUACGCGAAUAUUGACGCUGAGGCACGAAAGCGUGGGGAUCAAACAGG
rnacentral:rRNA from 1 species